rnacentral:rRNA from 1 species
AGAGUUUGAUCCUGGCUCAGAUUGAACGCUGGCGGCGUGCCUAACACAUGCAGUCGAGCGGUAACGCGGGGGCAACCCUGGCGACGAGCGGCGAACGGGUGAGUAAUGCUUGGGAAUCUGCCCAGUAGUGGGGAAUAACCAGCCGAAAGGUUGGCUAAUACCGCAUACGCCCUACGGGGGAAAGCGGGGGACCGAAAGGCCUCGCGCUAUUGGAUGAGCCCAAGUCGGAUUAGCUAGUUGGUAGGGUAACGGCCUACCAAGGCGACGAUCCGUAGCUGGUCUGAGAGGACGACCAGCCACACUGGGACUGAGACACGGCCCAGACUCCUACGGGAGGCAGCAGUGGGGAAUAUUGGACAAUGGGCGAAAGCCUGAUCCAGCGACGCCGCGUGGGUGAAGAAGGCCUGCGGGUUGUAAAGCCCUUUUAGUGGGGAUGAAAAACUCAAGACCUAAUACGUCUGGGUCUUGACCUAACCCACAGAAAAAGCACCGGCUAACUCUGUGC